AAUUCGUAUUGUAGGCAUUGGCUAAGUAAACCAUUGUAUCAUUUUCAAGCCUCUGAAUAGCAUUCUGAGUCCAAUUGUUAGAAAGUAGUAAUAUCAUCCCUUAGAUU
rnacentral:snoRNA from 1 species